GACGAACGCUGGCGGCGUGCUUAACACAUGCAAGUCGAACGAAGUGGCGAACGGGUGAGUAACGCGUAAUCAACCUGCCCUUCAGAGGGGGACAACAGUUGGAACGGACUGCUAAUACCGCAUACUGAAGGAGGGGAUUGCGUCUGAUUGGCUAGGUGGAGGGGUAACGGCCCACCAAGGCGAUGAUCAGUAGGCGGUCUGAGAGGAUGAACCGGCAACUUGGGAACUAGACACGGCCCAGACUCCUACGGGAGGCAGCAGUGGGGAAUCUUCCGCAAUGGACGAAAGUCUGACGGAGCAACGCCGCGGUAGUGAUGACGGCCUUCGGGUUGGAAAGCUCUGUUAAUCGGGACGCGGUACCGGAAUAGAAAGCCACGGCUAACUACGUGCCAGCAGCCGCGGUAAUUC
rnacentral:rRNA from 1 species